UGGGGAAUCUUGCACAAUGGGGGAAACCCUGAUGCAGCGACGCCGCGUGAGCGAUGAAGCCCUUCGGGGUGUAGAGCUCUUUCGGCUGGAACGAUAAUGACGGUACCAGCAGAAGAAGCUGCGGCUAACUACGUGCCAGCAGCCGCGGUAAUACGUAGGCAGCGAGCGUUGUUCGGAGUUACUGGGCGUAGAGAGUGCGUAGGCGGUGCGGCAAGUCUGGUGUGAAAUCUCCCGGCUUAACUGGGAGGGUGCGCUAGAAACUGCCGUGCUAGAGUGUGGGAGAGGUAAGCGGAAUUCCUGGUGUAGCGGUGAAAUGCGUAGAUAUCAGGAGGAACACCUGCGGUGUAGACAGCUUACUGGACCAUAACUGACGCUGAGGCACGAAAGCGUGGGUAGCGAA
rnacentral:rRNA from 1 species